AGCGAACGUUGGCGGCGUGCUUAACACAUGCAAGUCUAAGGGGAAAAGGGGGCAACUCCUGAGUACACUGGCGCACGGGUGAGGAACACGUGAGUAAUCAACCUUCCAGACUGGGAUAACCUGCCGAAAGGCGGGCUAAUACCAGAUAGUUUGCCCCUUCCUUCGGGUGGAGUCAAUAAAGACGGGUUUCUGUCACUGGGAGACGAGCUCGCGUCCCAUUAGCUAGUUGGAGAGGUAACGGCUCACCAAGGCAACGAUGGGUAGCUGGUUUGAGAGAAUGAUCAGCCACACUGGCACUGGAACACGGGCCAGACUCCUACGGGAGGCAGCAGUGAGGAAUAUUGCGCAAUGGGCGAAAGCCUGACGCAGCGACGCCGCGUGAGGGAUGAAGGCCUUCGGGUCGUAAACCUCUGUCAGAAGGGACGAAAAUGCGCCAUUUAACUGAUGGUGAACUGACGGUACCUUCGAAGGAAGCACCGGCUAACUCCGUGCCAGCAGCCCGCGGUAAUACGGAGGGUGCAAACGUUGCUCGGACUUACUGGGCGUAAAGGGAGCGUAGGCUGUUUAUCAAGUCAGAUGUGAAAUCCCCGGGCUCAACCCUGGAAUUGCAUUUGAUACUGAUAGACUAGAGUGUAUUAGAGGAGAGCAGAAUUCCUGGUGUAGCGGUGAAAUGCGUUGAGAUCAGGAGGAAUACCGGUGGCGUAAGCGGCUCUCUGGGAUACAACUGUGACGCUGAGGCUCGAAAGCGUGGGGAUCAAAACAGGAUUAGAUACCCUGGUAGUCCACGCCCUAAACGAUGAAGUACUAGACGUCCGNCACCUUUGACCGUGCGGGUGUCGAAGCUAACGCGAUAAGUACUCCGCCUGGGGAUUACGGUCGCAAGACUAAAACUCAAAGGAAUUGACGGGGACCCGCACAAGCGGUGGAGCAUGUGGUUUAAUUCGUCGCUACGCGAAGAACCUUACCUAGGUUUGACAUGCCGCGAAUCUGCUAGAAAUAGUGGAGUGCCUUCGGGAGCGCGGACACAGGUGCUGCAUGGCUGUCGUCAGCUCGUGUCGUGAGAUGUUGGGUUAAGUCCCGCAACGAGCGCAACCCCUGUUGCUAUUUGCCAACACGUAAUGGUGGGAACUCUAGCAAGACUGCCUCGGUUAACGGGGAGGAAGGAGGGGAUGACGUCAAGUCAUCAUGGCCUUUAUAUCUAGGGCUACACACGUGCUACAAUGGUCGGUACAAAGGGCAGCCAACCCGCGAGGGGGAGCUAAUCCAUAAAAACCGACCCCAGUUCAGAUCGCAGUCUGCAAUUCGACUGCGUGAAGUUGGAAUCGCUAGUAAUCGCGGAUCAGCUACGCCGCGGUGAAUACGUUCCCGGGUCUUGUACACACCGCCCGUCACACCACGAGAGUUGGUAGUGCUGGAAAACGAUGAUCUAACCGCAAGGAGGAAGUCGUUUAAGGCAACACUAAUGAUUGGGGUGAAGUCGUAACAAGGUAACC
rnacentral:rRNA from 1 species